AACGAACGCUGGCGGCAGGCUUAACACAUGCAAGCCGAGCGCCCCGCAAGGGGAGCGGCAGACGGGUGAGUAACGCGUGGGAAUCUACCCAUCUCUACGGAAUAACGCAUGGAAACGUGUGCUAAUACCGUAUACGUCCUUCGGGAGAAAGAUUUAUCGGAGAUGGAUGAGCCCGCGUUGGAUUAGCUAGUUGGUGGGGUAAAGGCCUACCAAGGCGACGAUCCAUAGCUGGUCUGAGAGGAUGAUCAGCCACACUGGGACGGAGACACGGCCCAGACUCCUACGGGAGGCAGCAGUGGGGAAUAUUGGACAAUGGGCGCAAGCCUGAUCCAGCCAUGCCGCGUGAGUGAUGCAGGCCCUAGGGUUGUAAAGCUCUUUCACCGGUGAAGAUAAUGACGGUAACCGGAGAAGAAGCCCCGGCUAACUUCGUGCCAGCCGCCGCGGUAAAAC
rnacentral:rRNA from 1 species